rnacentral:rRNA from 1 species
UACAAGGUUUCCGUAGGUGAACCUGCGGAAGGAUCAUUGAAUCGAUCGAAUACACACUGGUAACCAAACGUCCCCCCCGUUGGGCUGGCGGGCUUCGGCCUGUCCCCGCGGGCGUCGGUCCCCUGGCUGGGGCUUUCGAGCCGCAGUUAGGUCCGGCGGGCGUCCUCUGGCGCUUGGGUCCCCUCUCUUUUUUCCCUCUUCGGAGGGGGGAGAGCUGGGGUUCCCUCGUCAGAUGUGACGCUGGUAAUUCUCGUCUAACCAACCAUUUUCACUCCAAACCUCAACUCACUCUGAAGCAACCUGUGAGCGCUCGCUUCGGCGGCCUCACUUCAAACCAAAGACAACUCUCAACAACGGAUAUCUUGGCUCCCGUAUCGAUGAAGAACGCAGCGAAAUGCGAUACGUAGUGUGAAUUGCAGAAUUCCGUGAACCAUCGAAUCUUUGAACGCAAAUUGCGCCCGAGGCUUCGGCCGAGGGCAUGUCUGCCUCAGCGUCGGCCCAUCCCCUCGCUCCCCUUCCCUCUGUGUGAGUGUCGGGGCAGCGGACCUGGCCCUCCCGGCUCCGUUCCUCCUUUGUGUGGACCGUCCGGGUGGGCUGAAGUGCAGAGGCUUGAGCAUGGACCCCGUUUGCAGGGCAAUGGCUUGGUAGGUAGCUUCGCUACGCAGCCUGCCGUCGCCCAAGGGGACUUUGCUGGCGGCCCAGCAGGAAUCCGGUCGGUUGGGCGGCUCUUCGGAGCCGUCCGCCCGGACGCUUCACUCUUUCGACCUGAGCUCAGGCAAGACUACCCGGCUGAACUUAAGCAUAUC